GGGGGGAGCAAGCGUUGUUCGGAUUUACUGGGCGUAAAGGGCGCGUAGGCGGCCUCCGCAAGUCAGUUGUGAAAUCUCCGAGCUUAACUCGGAAAGGUCAACUGAUACUGCGGGGCUAGAGUGCGGAAGGGGCAACUGGAAUUCUUGGUGUAGCGGUGAAAUGCGUAGAUAUCAAGAGGAACACCUGCGGCGAAGGCGGGUUGCUGGGCCGACACUGACGCUGAGGCGCGAAAGCUAGGGGAGCGAACGGGAUUAGAUACCCCGGUAGUCCUAGCCUUAAACGAUGAAUGCUUGGUGUCUGGGGUUAUAUAGUCCCCGGGUGCCGUCGCUAACGCUUUAAGCAUUCCGCCUGGGGAGUACGGUCGCAAGACUGAA
rnacentral:rRNA from 1 species